UGGGGGAUAUUGCACAAUGGAGGAAACUCUGAUGCAGCAACGCCGCGUGAAGGAUGAAGGUCUUCGGAUUGUAAACUUUUGUACUUGGGGACGAUAAUGACGGUACCCAAGCAGCAAGCUCCGGCUAACUACGUGCCAGCAGCCGCGGUAAUACGUAGGGAGCAAGCGUUGUCCGGAUUUACUGGGUGUAAAGGGUGCGUAGGCGGCCAUACAAGUCAGUUGUGAA
rnacentral:rRNA from 1 species